rnacentral:tRNA from 1 species
GCUGUGGCUCAGUGAAACAGCGUCUGCUCAGCAUGCAAAAGGCCCCGGGUUCAAUUCUCUGCAUCUCCA